UGGGCGGCCAACCGUAGGAAACCAAGUGUAGUCAUGGUCUUCUCCAACCAAAACCAAACCCAAAACCAAAGUUACUUAAAAUAAUAACCGCCUCAACUGUAUAUCGGUCACGUGUCGGUGGCCCUUUGCCCUCUUCUCUCUGUAAAAUUGUAGUAAUACUCCUCCCAUCCCACCACCACUUAUAAACUCACUUUUCUCCCUCGAAAAAACAUUAGCCUAACUUGGGCUUUCCAAGGAUUUUAUGGUUAUGUUGGAGCUACUACUAAGCUCCUCCAUGCUCCCUUUCUUCUUCAUCUACACAAAGGCAAAGCUAUAGCUUUUUGUUUCCUUCUUGUUUAAUUCUCUUUGUAUUUGUCGAUAUAGGAGAGAGGUCUGGCCGGGUUCAAGACGAUAGCGUUUAGAAUAUUUGGUGGUGGUGGAAAGAGGAAGAAGAGCAAGAAGAAGAUUAAAGUCAAGGAAAAAUUCAUGGAUUGGUGGCAUAAGAUGAUCUUCCCUGUCAGAAGAGUUUGGUUUGCUGUUUCUGCUCGUGUUAAAGCUCGCAAAAACGGUGCAGGGCUUUUGAAGCUUCAUGAUGAUGUACAAACUUGUGGAUACCAAGAUGUGCAGGUGAUGUGGGAGAUGCUGAGAAGAUCAGAAACAGAGCUGAUAGCUAACAAUGCCAAGCGCAAGCAACGACCUUUCUGGAGAGUUUUUGUGUGGUCUAACAACAGUUCAUCCUCAUCCUUCUCGGCAAAUCAUGCCUAACUUGAUACCAUUUGGAUACUACUACUAUUAUAAUAAAAAGUAAUAAUGUUUUCUCAGUGUCCUGCAACCUGACAUUGGCAUCAUAAUUUUAGAACCGGACAGCCGACAUUGCAGUGGCAUGGUACAGAGCUGUUGCAACUAUGUUCAAAUCCAAAUAUAAGAUGAUGUAUCACUAUUACUUCUCCUGGGGGUAAAAUAUAUGCUUUCAAACGACGAAGUCAUUCUUGUAUAUCUGUGAUAUUUUGUCAUGACUUGUAAUCAAAUUACAACACAGAGCUUCAUCAGUAAGCUCAAUUUCACUCA